GUGAAACGGAAAGUAAAGUUGUUAUUUUGUACGGAUCCAUGGUGAGAUGACAGAGCAGAAAACACUAUAUUGAGAAAAGUACAAAUAAAGUAUUUGUGAACAAUAAAGGACAGAGUUAGAGAAUAAAUACCUGGAAUGACAUAUUAUUACUAGUUAGUAGAUCUCACAGGGUUCUGUUGUCAGUAUUUUACCGUACACCAGUGACGCCAGGGGGGACGUGAUUUCCCGAGAAAUGCUGUUGAAACUGUAGCGCACAUUUCUCGGCAACAUUAGAAGUGGGAAAAAUGUCUUGUUUUGAAGGACAGACGGGCAGACUCUGGAUCCAUGGUGAGACAACAGAGCAGAAAACACUACAUGGAGAUGACUGACAAAUAAGUAAGUAUUUCUGAACAAUAAUCUAUUCUAAAGAACAGAGUAUGUGAAUGAAUACCUGGAAUGAGAUAUUGCUAUUUAGUAGAACUGCUACUUGAGCUGAGUUGCUGACAGACAGCAGUUUUCAAAGUGUAAACUAAUCAGUAGUCCUACAUGUUAUCAGUGAAACGUCUGGUAAAGAUGGCGGAGGAGCUUUUGAAUUAUAUGGUUUUAUGUUUAUCUCAGGGUUUCUCAUUUGACACGAAAAUAAAAUUUCAUUCAAUCGUU